rnacentral:misc_RNA from 1 species
GUGAAUCAUCGAAUCUUUGAACGCAAAUUGCACUCCCUGGUAUUCUGGGGAGUAUGCCUGUUUGAGGGUCGUUAGAACAAAAAUCGAAGCGUCGCUCUUUUUUUUUAAGGGUGAUCGCGUCGGAAUUGAGCCGUCUUCAAAUGGUAAUUCAAUGUCAAGUUGCCUUGAAUUUCAUCAACCGGG